CAGAGGGUUAACCUUUAAAAUGCCAGUGGUUUUUUGUUUCCUGGUUUGAACUCACGGGUUUAAGAUUCCGAAAUCCCCCCUUUGACGUACCACCUUUCCUGCAAAUGUAUCACGGUCUCUGGAUCAAGGGAGAGAUCAGCGGGUUUGACAGAUUUCCUUUUGUUCCCACCCCCGCGAUGUUUUUUUGAACAGAGUUGGAAAACAUCGGAGACAACUCACCUAAGCGUGACAGAGUAAGCAAACUGAAAUGGAAAAGGAAGUGGUUGAAGAAGCAAAGGCAGAGCCAGUGGGUGGAGCAAAAUGGAAGGGAUGUUGUUAGAGAAGAGGGCUUCUUUUGCUGAGGGCCCACACACACCUGGAACCAGCCCCAACUACACGACACCGGAGAGGAGACACCAGGAAGACAACAUCAUGUGAGACAGCAAAUAGGUAGCAAGAUGUAACCAAACAUACAGUGAUGUAGAUGUGUAACAGGAAA